UGUUUGUCUUCUUCUGGCCGGCUUUGGUGGCGGCGCCGCGGAGGAGGGAGCCGAAGCCACCCUUACCGGCACGGAGGCGGAGGAGGAGGGUGCAGGAGGGGAAGAAUCCGGCGGAGGCGGAGAGUGGAGUUUCGUCAUUGACGUUGAGGGAUCCGGUGACGAGGCGCUGGGCGGAGGCGGGUAUGCCGGUGAGGAAGGAGAGGUGGCG
rnacentral:misc_RNA from 1 species